rnacentral:rRNA from 1 species
GCCCCUGGCGGCAUGCUUACCAUGCAAGUCGAACGGUAACAGCGGGAGCUUGCUUCUGGCUGACGAGUGGCGGACGGGGGAGUAAUACGUAGGAAUCUGCCCAGUAGCUGGGGAUAACUCGAGGAAACUCGAGCUAAUACCGAAUCCUACGGGAGAAAGUGGGGGAACUCUUCGGAGACCUCAUGCUAUCAGAUGAGCCUAUGUUAGAUUAUCUAGUUGGCGGUGUAAAAGCCCACCAAGGCGACGAUCUAUAGCUGGUUUGAGAGAACGAUCAGCCACACUGGGACUGAGACACGGCCCAGACUCCUACGGGAGGCAGCAGUAGGGAAUAUUGCACAAUGGGCGAAAGCCUGAUGCAGCAAUGCCGCGUGUGUGAAGAAGGCCUGCGGGUUGUAAAGCACUUUCAGUAGGGAGGAAAAAGCAAUGCUAAUACACUCGUCUAAUGACGUUACCUAAAGAAGAAGCACCCGGCUAACUCCGUGCCAGCAGCCGCGGUAAUACUGAAGGUGCAAGCGUUAAUCGGAAUUACUGGGCGUAAAGCGCGCGUAGGCGGCUUGGUCAGUCAGAUGUGAAAGCCCUGGGCUCAACCUGGGAAUUGCAUCCGAUACUGGCAAGCUAGAGUAUGAUAGAGGGAAGCGGAAUUCCAGGUGUAGCGGUGAAAUGCGUAGAUAUCUGGAGGAACAUCAGUGGCGAAGGCGACUUCCUGGACCAAUACUGACGCUGAGGUACGAAAGCGUGGGGAGCAAACAGGAUUAGAUACCCUGGUAGUCCACGCCGUAAACGAUGUCAACUAGCUGUUGGGAGGAUCUGCCUCUUAGUAGCGUAGCUAACGCGAUAAGUUGACCGCCUGGGGAGUACGGCCGCAAGGUUAAAACUCAAAGGAAUUGACGGGGCCCGCACAAGCGGUGGAGCAUGUGGUUUAAUUCGAUGCAACGCGAAGAACCUUACCAGCCCUUGACAUGCCAGAUCUGCAGAGAUGCGGGAGUGCCUUCGGCUGCAAAACAGUGCUGCAUGCUGUCGUCAGCUCUGUCUGAGAUGUUGGUUAAGUCCCGCCACGAGCGCAUCAUGUCCUAGUGCAUCAUUCAGUGGGCCUCUAAGGGACUGCCGGUGACACGAGAAGGUGGGAUGACUCAGGUCAUCUAUGGCUUAUUGUGAGGCUAAACCCGUUCUAUGGACUUCAAGGUGUCUAUGCGCAGGGGUCUACA